rnacentral:rRNA from 1 species
CCUCGGUUCUAUUUUGUUGGUUUUCGGGAGUGAGGUAAUGAUUAAGAGGGACUGACGGGGGCAUUCGUACUGCGACGUGAGAGGUGAAAUUCUUGGAUCGUCGCAAGACGCACUACUGCGAAGGCAUUUGCCAAGAAUGUUUUCAUUAAUCAAGAACGAAAGUAACGGGUUCGAAGGCGAUCAGAUACCGCCCUAGUCGUUACCGUAAACAAUAUUGACUGGGAGCAUGUCGGCGUUUCCAAGAACCCGAUAUGAACCCCACGGGAAACCUCAAGUCAAUUACUGGGGGAGUACGAUUGCAAAGUCGAAACUUAAAGGAAUUGACGGAAGGGCACCACCAGGGGUGGAGCCUGCGGCUUAAUUUGACUCAACACGG